rnacentral:rRNA from 1 species
CCCUUAGAUGUUCUGGGCCGCACACGCGCUACACUGAAGGAGGCAGCGUGUACUCCUGGAUCGAAAGAUUUGGGUAACCCGCGAAUCUCCUUCGUGCUAGGAAUUGAGGUUUGCAAUUAUCCUUCAUGAACGAGGAAUUCCCAGUAAGUGCAAGUCAUAAGCUUGCGCUGACUACGUCCCUGCCCUUUGUACACACCGCCCGUCGCUACUACCGAUUGAAUGAUUUAGUGAGGACUUCGGACUGGGACCGAUGCGGCUUUCGGGCUGCGUCGGUAUUCUGGAAAGAUGUCCAAACUGUAUCAUUUAGAGGAAGUAAAAGUCGUAACA